GGGGCUAUGGCGCAGUUGGUAGCGCGCUUCCAUGGCAUGGAAGAGGUCACGAGUUCGAAUCUCGUUAGCUCCA
rnacentral:tRNA from 1 species